UAAGACGGAGGGCGCGAACGUUGUUCGGUGUCACUGGGCUUAGAGAGCGCGUAGGCGGCCCGGUUUGUGGGAGGUGAAAGCCCCAGGCUCAAUCUGGGAACUGCCUUCCAAACGGCCGGGCUUGAGGGCCGGAGGGGGAAGUGGAACGUCACGUGUAGCGGUGAUAUGCGUUGAUAUGUGACGGAACGCCGGCGGCGAAGGCGGCUUCCUGGUCGGCUUCUGACGCUGAGGCGCGAAAGCGUGGGGAGCAAACGGGAUUAGAUACCCCGGUAGUCCACGCCGUAAACGAUGGGCACUAGGUAGCGGGAGCUCCGAUGCCUUCGCUGCCGUAGCGCAAGCGAUAAGUGCCCCGCCUGGGGAGUACGGUCGCAAGGCUG
rnacentral:rRNA from 1 species